CACCAACAACAGCAGCAACACCAACAACAUCAACAACAACAACAACAACAACCAAAUGCAACAACCAACCAAGGCGGCUUUCUUCAUGUGUGUGUGUGAAAAAAACAACAACAACAACAGCAACAAGAACUUUAGAAAAACUUACAACUUUUUAGACUUGGAGCAUUUUUCGAGGGAAAUAGUUUAAAAAACAAAAAUCGCAAGAAAUCCAAAAUUUAUUUAGUGUUUUUUCUCCCAAAACAACAACAUACAAAUUACAAAAAACACACACGAAAAACAACCAAAAAGUGUCACUCAAAAAACAAAACAAAAAAAAACGUUAAGGAAAAAAGUCAAAAAUGUACAUUUUUUCGCUUUAAUUUUUUAAAAACAACUUCGAAAUCGAGACAGAGCGAGAGCGAGAGCGAGAGAGAGAGAGAGAGAGAUGAUGACGAUCGGCAUGCUCUAAGGUUGUGUUAAUUUUGCACAUAAUUUAAAAAAUAAAAAAAAACCGUAAACAAUUUUUUCUCAAAAUAAAAAAUCAAGAAAAUCACACAAAAAGUGAAAAAAUUCUUUCGAAAGCGAAAUUAACAAAAAGUCUUACAACAAAAAAAUUCAAUUCAAUGCAAGCAGCAAGUGCAACAGCAACAACAACUAAAAAAACAACAAUUUCACCCACAACAACAAAAGCGGCAACAACAACAACAGCAAGAACAAAAAGAACGAGAACAACGUUUUGAAACUGCGGUGUUUGGCGUUUAUGCAUAUUCUUCAAAAUUCCAAAUUUCAACGAAGAAGAAAGCGUGUAAAACUCAAAGAGAAACCAAGAGGAAAAGGAAACCAAAAAGCUAAAGGCACAAAAAAUUAUACAACACUAUCCGUAAUCUCGGCAAUUCGAAAGGCAACUCUAUCCCGAACAACUCUACCAAAACAACACGCUACAACUCUGGCAGCGCUCUCUGGCUAUAAAAUAUAGAAGAAAACAAAAGAAAAUCAACCAACAUUCUCUCUCCCUCACACACACACACACACACACACAUACAAAAUCAGAUAUAUAUAUAGAGAUAUAUCUAUAUGAUCCAAUAGUCUCUA